rnacentral:misc_RNA from 1 species
UAUGGGAGCGGGCUUGCUCGCGAUGCAGGCAACGCGUUGCAGCAGGUAGGACGCGGUGAAGCCAUCGCGAGCAAGCCCGCUCCCACA